rnacentral:rRNA from 1 species
ACUCAAAGGAAUUGACGGGGGCCCGCACAAGAGGCGGAGCAUGUGGCUUAAUUCGACGCAACGCGAAGAACCUUACCAAGGCUUGACAUCGCCGGGAAAGCUCCAGAGAUGGGGCCCCUUUUAGUCCGGUGACAGGUGGUGCAUGGCUGUCGUCAGCUCGUGUCGUGAGAUGUUGGGUUAAGUCCCGCAACGAGCGCAACCCUUGUCCUGUGUUGCCAGCAUGCCCUUCGGGGUGAUGGGGACUCACGGGAGACUGCCGGGGUCAACUCGGAGGAAGGUGGGGACGACGUCAAGUCAUCAUGCCCCUUAUGUCUUGGGCUGCACACGUGCUACAAUGGCCGGUACAAUGAGCUGCGAUACCGCGAGGUGGAGCGAAUCUCAAAAAGCCGGUCUCAGUUCGGAUUGGGGUCUGCAACUCGACCCCAUGAAGUCGGAGUCUCUAGUAAUCGCAGAUCAGCAUUGCUGCGGUGAAUACGUUCCCGGGCCUUGUACACACCGCCCGU